AAACACGCUCUUCUCUCGAGUCCGUCUAUCCACAGUGCAUCUUUAUAAAAGGAUUCAUUUUGUGGGUCGCUAGAGACGGCAGGACUCCUUGAACGGGUGAUCAGCCCGUCGAAAGGCCGGUACCUACACAGAGGAUAACACAGGCAUCAAUGCCUUGAGUGGGAUCCCAGAGUUCGAGCGUGCCAAGACACUUCCUGCAGUGCGUCCACCGUGACCGGCGUUUACAGAGGCGAUUGAAGAAGAAAUGGCAAAAAGAUUUCAUAGUGACUGAAAUGCAAGUUUCUGUGUUCAGAUCCGUUGCCAGGAGACGACUAGUGAAGACGGAGGAUCAU